AGGUACUUUUUGCGGGCCAGCCAGCAGCGGAUGGUCUUCUGGAUACGGACACAAGCCAUUCGCAGCUUGUCAGAGCGCAGCUUCUCCAGAUGGGAAGCCUGCUGCGGAGAUCCGGAUUGUUUCGAGGAUGCCACAAGCUCGAAGCUGCUGCACUGCCCUCACAGGAUCCAUGCUUUAUGAAAGGAAACCGUCACACUGGUACUCCACCUACAAACAACGCACCAGAGCAAAGGUCACAAUCAUCACUCAACGUGGAGUUAGUGCUACUCUAAUAAAUAGAAUCAUCGAACGUUAGGAGAGAAGACACAAGUCUGACAAAGUUAUUAGUGUUUCACAAUUGACUCCGUCGUUGCUCUAAUAAGAUAAACAUGAGGUAUCGCAGACGACCAAGAUGUAACGCCACCUCAGCGCACGACCACGUUUUACCUUGUCAGCAAAGUGGUGGACGAUGAAAGCUCUAUUUGACAUCCUGGGUUUAUCAAAGUGAGCAUUCUGCUUCAGGAGGGUGUUGUAAAGCUUUUGGGCCCAUGUGUCAUCAGAGCCUUUGGGCAUCUAUGGAAACAGGAAGAGCUGACACAUCAUUUAGUCAAGGCCUGACUCAUUCCCUCCCAAACGUAGCAUGGUAGAAAUUCCUCAGGGGGAAACUAGCUAAAGAGAGAAAAAAAAAAAAAAAACUAUAACUGGCAUUUUACUUUGCACUCUUCAUCCAGAAGGUCCAGAACCCCCAGCUUGGCCUCAAUCAGAUCAAUGCACGGCUGGUUGUCGGCAAAGUCAAUCAACGUCCAAGAGAUCUCCUCCCUCAGGUACUCCUCUUGCUCCAGUUUAAAGACGUGCUAGAGGAAGCGAUGCAAAGGAUUAAUGUGAACGUUGGGACUUAAACAAGGAAUUCAUUUGAGCGAGAAAAGACCCACACCAGGUUGAAUUGUUGUUGAAGCUUCUCGUUGGCAUAAUUAAUGCAAAACUGCUCAAAGCUGUUGACAUCAAAUGUUUCAAACCUAAAAAGGAACAAAAAUAAAUGUUUAAAUUAAGUCA